UCUGCCUUGUUUUUUGCGGGGUGGGUUAGUGGCGAACGGGUGAGUAACACGUGAGUAACCUGCCCCUCACUUCUGGAUAACCGCUUGAAAGGGUGGCUAAUACGGGGUGUUCUGGCUGUGCCGCAUGGUGUGGCUGGGAAAGAUUCACUUUUGUGGUGUUUUGGUGGGGGAUGGGCUCGCGGCCUAUCAGCUUGUUGGUGGGGUGAUGGCCUGCCAAGGCUUUGACGGGUAGCCGGCCUGAGAGGGUGGGCGGUCACACUGGGACUGAGAUACGGCCCAGACUCCUGCGGGAGGCAGCAGUGGGGGGUAUUGCACAAUGGGCGGAAGCCUGAUGCAGCGACGUCGCGUGAGGGAUGGAGGCCUUCGGGUUGUGAACCUCUUUCGCCGGUGAAGAAGG
rnacentral:rRNA from 1 species